CGAAAAACAACUCUUGUCUGCCAUCUUGAAUAUACUUAAUAAAGAUCAUCAUAAAUAGAUAUCAAUCGAUUGCCUUAUUUUAUAUUUUUUAAGCAACUCAAACACGAAAAGGUUAAAAAUAAGUCAAUUUUACAUAAAUUUCGUAAAUAGUAUGAAACAAAGUCAACAUAUAUUUUUGUUUUUAUUGAUAAUUAUGUUUUUUGACUAUGUUAUAGAAAGUUUGGGUCGGCUUUAGUAUACGAUCCCACGAUUUCAGGUUUAAAAGUGGUAUGGUUGGAUAGGGCUGAUGCUCCAGAUUAAGGAAAUUGUUGCCGCCGCAAACUUAUAGUGUUCGAGAUAUUUGCAUUUAAAGUUGAAAAUUUUGUAAAUUUUAUCUUGCAAUUUCUCGAUUGCUAGUAAUUAUUUAAUUCAUAUUAUGCCUUUUUUAUGCACUUACACUUCACUACAUUAUUUCUACAUAUUUUUUUCCAGUAAUUAUUUAGUUAUUUGCUUAAAAUAAGCAUUUUAUAUUUUACACAAUUUAAAAUUUCAAAUUUAUAAUAAGUGUUGCCAUAAUUACACAUUUAUCAAACGAAUAAAAAUGAAUAAAAAAUAGGACUAUACCCCACAUACAUAAAUCAUUGCCCUUUUUCUUGAUAUAUCAAGAUUUUUGAUACACCUCGGUGUUGGAUCGGCCAGGGUUAUUUUUUUGAAGCGCGGCCGAAGGCCGCCAACGCGAAAAGGAGUUUUACAUAAAAAAACUUGAUACACCCCGGUGUUGGAUCGGCCAGGGUUAUUUUUUUGAAGCGCGGCCGAAGGCCGCCAAUGCAGAAAGAAGUGGGACGCGAAUGGACUAAUGUUUACCCAGGUGUUGGAUUGGCCAGGGUUCUUUAAGCGUGGUCGAAGGCUGCUAAUGCACAAAGGUAAUCUAAAAGUUAUGUUAAAUAGGGUAUAUCUCCCUCUUUAUACUACAUUUUCUAUAACGGAUAUUGUUACAACUAAACAAGGUACCGUUCUUUUUGUUGUCCGUUUUGUCAUUAUUUUCAUAUUUAUCAAUUCCGCGUUUCCCAUUUUUAAACUACAUUUUCUAUAACGGGUAUUGUUACAACUAAACAAGGUACCGUUCCUUUUUUCCCGUUUUGAAAUAAGUUUCAUAUUUAUUUCAUUUGAAUUCCGCGAUUCGAUGCAGCCAUAUAUUCAGGACACAAAUUUAAAGAGCAUAAAAUUUAAAAUGUAUUUAAAUACAUAUAUAAUUAUUAAAAGUUGAAUUUUAAAAAAUGAGUGCAAAUUCAUCAGGUAAGUAACAUAAGUUUUAAACUGAAAAAAAUAUAACUUAAGGUAUUUAAAUAGAUUGUGUCGGAGCGUCAACGAGCCGAGGUGCCAUAAAGCGAGUGCGUGCAAAUUCAUCAGAUUGUGUCGGAGCGUCAAACAGCCGAAGUGUUAUAAAGCGAACCAAUGUGCUUAAAGCGGCGGAAGUGAAGUCAAUAUGGAAUAUUGUAAAAAUAUUCCAAACAUUUGACACAACAGAGAAAUGUAUUUCCUUUGCCGAAGAACAAGGUUUGAUUUAAAAGCCAAAAUUUGCCGUACGCAUAAAAUGCCAAUGACGCUGUCGUUAAAAAAAGUAGCAAAGUUGGGGUGUUCCGAUGCCGGAAAGGGGGUUGCCGGAAGCGAAGUGCAUUGGCAAGGUCGAGCGAUACCUGGUUCGAAAACGUCAAAAUCCCACUUCCGCAGGCAUUUUAUCUAAUGUAUGCGUAUGCAUCUCAUUGGUCACAUACGGAAGUGAGGAAAAACAGUUUUAUCAGGGAACCAGUUUUAUCUAGCGCUUCAAUAUGUGACUGGUAUAAUUACUGCCGCGAAGCUGUAGUAUUAUACCAGGUUGACCAUCAGGUAGCGGUAGGUAAAAUUGGUGGCCCUGGUAAAACUGUUCAAAUAGACGAAAGCAAAUUUGGGAAGAGAAAAUACAACAAAGGGCGGAGAGUCGAGGGCCACUGGGUUCUUGGGAUGGUUGAGGAUGGGAGUGGAUUUGUAUGUCGUGUAUGGCGAAACAAUUUCAUACAGAUCGAACGCACAUGUGGGUCGUGUAUGGCCAUUAUAACACACACGUAGUAAACGCAAUACACUACGAUCUACCAAGCAUGAUUUGGUGCUAGAUUUUCCGGCAACCAAAUUCCAGCACUUCAAAAAGAUCAUGGUCGACAUUACAGAUAAAAAUGAAGAAAUGGAAAUUGUCACCACCGAACAUAACCGCGCGCACGGAGCCGCCCAGGAAAAUACUAAACAAAUCAUUUGCGAUUAUUAUUUUCUAAAAAUGACGAAGUUGGCCAAUGAAAUAGCAAUAAUUUGUAAGAUAUGCACUGAAGCAAAGUACGAUAGCCGCCCCAAAAAACAAAUUCUUCGGGAGACACCAAUUCCAUCAUACGCUGGAGAAAUACUCCACUUUGAUAUCUUUUCAACUGACAAAAAAAUUUUCGUACUUACACUGACAAAUUCUCAAAAUUCGCCGUGAUACAGCCCUUUCGAACAAUAAGGGAUGUAAAACCACUAAUUAUUCAGCUGUUGAACAUGUUCUCACAAACCAAGACAAUUUACUGCUAAGCUUCUUUUAAUUAAGAAACUAUCAGGGCCCUGUUGAAAAACAUGUACGACGUCGACCACGCACCAUAACUACAUAGUUGCUCAAAGGGCCAAGUGGAACGCUUCCACAGUACCCUCGCAAACAUAGCCAGAGCGUUUCGCCUACAAAAAAUGUCUGACGAUGCAGUCAAGUUGAUACUAAGGGCAACAAUCGCGUACAAUCUGUGACUGAAUGUACAGAUCCCAAAUGGAUUUCUCUAGAUCGGGCUACAAUUCGCAAAAUCACCUCUUCGAUGAAACGAACUUUUGGUGAUCAAAGCAUAUCAAACAAUCCGCCAGUCAAUUGGUCACCAAGAUCACAACAUUUGACCCCGUUACGUGAAUACGUGAUACGUCAAUCGUAUACGGUGAUUGGCAUUAUGACAUACGAUAGCAAACGGUAAUGUAUUUUCAAUUCACAAUAGUUUUUAAAUUCCACAUUGCUUUGGAUCGUAUUUUUAGAUCACAAUAGAUGUGGAACUGUCAAAACUGUUGCGAAAUUUACAAAAAACUAACAAAAGCUAAUUAAAUAUCAAAAUGGAUCAAACUUUGUUUUUUUAUUUGAGCUCUAGUGAAAGUGAUGGGGAUAAAAAAAUAGUGCGGAGAUAACUAAGAGAUCGUAGCAAUAACGUAGUUAUAAAAAAAAAAAAAAAUUAUGAAUCCUCAUUAACAAAAUUUUCUUUGUAGAUGUAUCGUUGAACAAAGCAUUGGAAUCUUAAAAAGACUGGGGAGAAUUUUAGGAUAUAGCAAGAGAGGUAUGUAUCACCCCACAAAAGUGGAAAAUUUGCUAACGUUUGUGAGGCAUUACAUAACAUCUGCAUACAAUUUAUAAUAGGGGUAUUCUCUUGCUCUUGCAAAACCCUUGCCCAUUGAAAGAAUUGCAUAUAUUUCCUUUUAGUGCACCGGCACAAACACAAGCACACGCAGAAAAUUAUUUGCAAUGGCUGUAGAAUGUGUAAGACCAAAACCCAUGUAUAUUUGCGUGCAAUGUCACGCAAAAAUAUAAUUGCAACCCUGUUUUAUCUGUCAUUUUACAUAAAGACAUAUUACGUAGUUAAAUUGUUGAGGAAGGCAAGUUUUAAAUCGAUUUUAUAAUAUCUAUUUAAAUUAUAAAGAUUUGUUACAGUUUUUUUUGUUAAAAAUGUAUGCAGAAGGUGCGCCAAUUCACAAUAGCCAUGCAUAAUAGUCAUUCACAAGAAUUCACUAGAUUCUGCAAUGGGUGCUCUCGUGCCUUUGAAUAUUUCAGUAUAGUAUUAUUGCAAUCGGCAGUCUUGCAAGAGCAAGCGAAUACCCCUAAUAAGUUACGACCCUCAAAAUUGCGAUUCUUAUCACACCGGGCUAGCGAACCGCCUCACCGCAAUCAACCAAACGAUAAGUGGCCAAAUAAAGUAUUCUUUAAUAAAUUUAAUUCAAAAAUGUAUAUGUCCUUUACCUUGUAAAUA